rnacentral:siRNA from 1 species
GUACAACCAUAGAGAUCCGUC